rnacentral:rRNA from 1 species
GGGGUAUAGUAGCAAUACUAGAGACCGGCGCACGGGUGCGUAACGCGUAUGCAAUCUACCUUUUACAGAGGGAUAGCCCAGAGAAAUUUGGAUUAAUACCUCAUAGUAUAGCGACCUGGCAUCAGGAUGUUAUUAAAGUCAUAACGGUAAAAGAUGAGCAUGCGUCCCAUUAGCUAGUUGGUAAGGUAACGGCUUACCAAGGCGACGAUGGGUAGGGGUCCUGAGAGGGAGAUCCCCCACACUGGUACUGAGACACGGACCAGACUCCUACGGGAGGCAGCAGUGAGGAAUAUUGGACAAUGGGCGCAAGCCUGAUCCAGCCAUGCCGCGUGCAGGAUGACGGUCCUAUGGAUUGUAAACUGCUUUUGUACAGGAAGAAACCCUUUCACGUGUGAAAGAUUGACGGUACUGUAAGAAUAAGAAUCGGCUAACUCCGUGCCAGCAGCCGCGGUAAUACGGAGGAUCCAAGCAUUAUCCGGAAUCAUUGGGUUUAAAGGGUCCGUAGGCGGCCAGAUAAGUCAGUGGUGAAAGCCCAUCGCUCAACGGUGGAACGGCCAUUGAUACUGUCUGGCUUGAAUUACAAGGAAGUAACUAGAAUAUGUAGUGUAGCGGUGAAAUGCUUAGAGAUUACAUGGAAUACCAAUUGCGAAGGCAGGUUACUACUUGUGGAUUGACGCUGAUGGACGAAAGCGUGGGUAGCGAACAGGAUUAGAUACCCUGGUAGUCCACGCCGUAAACGAUGGAUACUAGCUGUUGGGAGCAAUCUCAGUGGCUAAGCGAAAGUGAUAAGUAUCCCACCUGGGGAGUACGGGCGCAAGCCUGAAACUCAAAGGAAUUGACGGGGGCCCGCACAAGCGGUGGAGCAUGUGGUUUAAUUCGAUGAUACGCGAGGAACCU